AUUUGUUCCCAUAAUUGGGAGGUUCAGGCUGAGUUUCAGGCAUAACUGGAUCUAGGGGUUCAAAGUAUGUCAUUAGGAUUCUCCGUCUCCCAACAUUGGCUUCUUGCAGGAGUCCAGGGAAGAUGGCUUUGAGAAGUUCCAGGCUCACAAUUCCCUUCUAGCUCAUGACCCAGGAGAAAACAGGAGCUUCUCUCUCUCAAGGCAUACUUAACUAUGAAGAGGAAAUGCAGAAUGGUCCCUCUGGGGUUACAGGCUCACCCCGAACCAAUCACUCCAAACCUCAGAAGAAGGGAGACUAGAAUGAACCUGUAAAAUCAGUAGCCAUUACAGCCCACUUGGGAAGUUAACCAACAUUACCAGGCAGUGAAGACAGUGCUGGUGGGGGGUAAAAUCAGGAAGCUGCAAUUGAGGUUCAGGGAAGGAAAACCAUUCUCAGCUGAGGUCGUUAGGAAUGCCUUCAUAGGACAGGUAGGAUUUGAGCUGGGCGUUGGGAGACCUAAAGUUUAAAAACGGAUGAAGAAGAAAAUACCGUACUUUCAUUCCUGAUCAUUUUCUAAGGCUCAAGGAAGCUAGCAGCCCAGGGGGAUGUAAAGGAUCGUGUUGGUUUUCUUCCCUUUGCCACUGGUUCAGGAUGAGAAGUGUUUUUCUUUGAGCAUCGAGUCCUUCCAGAGACUGACAGAAAGGGAGAGAAUUUGGAUACGAGGACAAAAAUCUCCAGCACAGGCACUCACAUGUAAAGCAGGAGGAAAACGCCAUGCUUCUCCCCAACCUGAGGAACAGCUGGAAUUCUGUCCCUUGAAGAUUAAGAGAUCA
rnacentral:lncRNA from 1 species